GUUGCGACUUGACUUCGAGGAGCAACACAUAGCACGCGGUGUGGUAGCCUUUUUUGAGGUUUUUGAGGACUUUGCUGAUUUUUGAAGCUUUUCCAAAACUUCUUUUGCAGCCGUUUGGUAAGUUAAACUUUUAAAACUUUUUUGGGGUUUUUUGGAUUUUGGGUUGGGGUGUUUGGAAUUCAAGGACUUGGUGUUGGGGAGAGGUUUGCAAGAAUCUGGGAGCUUGUGUGGUUUUUUUCUGCAUUUUUAUGAUUUUUUGUGACCAUUGGGGCACUGUGCUGUUUUUUUUUUAAAAAAAAUUCUGGGUUUGAAUUUCUGUGUGGUGGGUGGCUGGGGGAACAGUUGAGGAGGGGUUUGCAAGAAUCUGGGAGCUUGUGUGGGUUUUUUUUUUUGAAUUUUUAUGAUUUUCUGUGACCAUUGGGCCAUGUUUUUUUUAUUUUUAUUUUUCUGGGUUUGAAUUUCUGUGUGGUGGGUGGCUGGGGGAACAGUUGAGGAGGGGUUUGCAACAGUUGGGGAGGGGUUUGCAGGAAUCUGGGAGCUUGUGUGGUUUUUUUCUGCAUUUUAAUGAUUUUCUGUGACCAUUGGGCCAUGUUGUUUUUUUCAAAAAAAAAUUCUGGGUUUGAAUUUCUGUGUGGUGGGCGGCUGGGGGAACAGUUGAGGAGGGGUUUGCAACAGUUGGGGAGGGGUUUGCAACAGUUGGGGAGGGGUUUGCAAUUUCUGUGUGGUGGGUGGGUGGCUGGGAGAACAGUUGAGGUUUUUGAAGACUUUGGUGAUUUUUAAAGCUUUUCCAAAACUUCUUUUGCAGCCAUUUGAGGAUUUUGAAGACUUUGGUGAUUUGCAGCCAUUUCGUAAGUUAAACUUUUAAAACUUUUUUGGGGGUUUUUGGAUUUUGGGUUGGGUGUUUGGAAUUCAAGGACUUGGUUCUGGGUUUGAAUUCCUGUGUGGUGGGUGGCUGGGUGCUUUUGAAUUUUUUGGGUGUGAAGCACUGAUUUUCCCCCCCCCUGAGUUUACGAAGCUAGGAGCUGUGCUGCCAUGGGACCCAAGAAGACUGCUGCUGCAGAGGCCGGCGAGAGGAAGAAGGAGAAGGUGACGCUGGAAAUGAAGAAGGAGAUCAUCCGGAAGCACGACGGUGGAAUGCGUGUGACAGACCUCGCCAGGGAGUACGGCAGGAACCCAUCGACCAUCGGCACCAUCCUGAAGAUGAGGGAGAAGAUCCUUGCGACUGAUGCAGCCAAGGGAGUCACCAGGAUCGUGAAGAACCGCCCAGCUGUUCUGGAGGAGGUCGAGAAGUUGCUGCUCAUCUGGUUAGAAGAGAAGCAGCGUGCAGGGGACACAGUGACUGAGGCCGUCAUUUGUGAGAAGGCCAAGGCCUUGCACGCAGACCUCGUCCGGGAACAGCCAGGAACCUCAGGCGAGCCAGAAGUCUUCAAGGCAAGCAGAGGCUGGUUUGACCGGUUCAAGACAAGAUCUGGAAUCCACAGCGUGGUCAGGCAUGGAGAGGCUGCCAGUUCUGAUGUUCCUGCGGCUGAAGACUUUGCAUUGGAGUUCCUGGAGGCUGUGAAGACGGAGGGCUACGUUCCACAGCAGGUCUUCAACUGCGACGAGACCGGGCUGUUUUGGAAGAGGAUGCCCAAAAGGACUUUCAUCACACAGGAGGAGGCCAAGUUGCCUGGCCACAAGCCCAUGAAGGACCGUCUGACCCUGCUCUUCUGUGCCAACGCAAGCGGCGACCUGAAGAUCAAGCCCCUGCUGGUGUACCACUCGGAGAACCCACGGGCCUUCAAGAAACACA